GAUGAAGAACGCAGCGAAAUGCGAUAAGUAGUGUGAAUUGCAGAAUUCAGUGAAUCAUCGAAUCUUUGAACGCACAUUGCGCCCCUUGGUAUUCCAUGGGGCAUGCCUGUUCGAGCGUCAUUUGUACCUUCAAGCUUUGCUUGGUGUUGGGUGUUUGUCCUGAGGGACUCGCCUUAAAGUAAUUGGCAGCCAGUGUUUGGUUUUGAAGCGCAGCACAAGUCGCGAUUCAAAGCUAUACGCCCGCUUCCACAAGCCUUUUUCACUUUUGACCUCGGAUCAGGUAUGGAUACCCGCUGAACUUAAGCAUAUCAAUAAGCGGAGGA
rnacentral:misc_RNA from 1 species